GAGUGCCUAUCCAUCCCGAAAGAGACUAUAAAAAGAAGUGUCAGGGCCUCUCUUGACCUAACUCCACAUCUGCCGCUCCAUCGAAAGCAAGAAUGAAGUAUGCUGUGGUCUUUGCUGUAAUGUUGCUUGUGGCAAUCACAGCUGAACCCGGGGAAUGCGGCUUAAGAAAAUAUCUUUCUGGUGUCAAACUCAAAAUAAAAAAUACUAUUUGUCAACGUACCUUGACCAAGAUGAACAAAAGCUGUGCAAUUUUCCUUCAAGAAAACGGCUAUCAAGAAUGCUUGAAUAGCCCCAAGACUGCGGACCAGACUGCCGAGUCCCCUGAGGAGGAUCCAGUGUUUAUGGUCUAGUGGCUGAUUAACCGGCCUCCGUUGUUGGUGACCGGGAGGGACAGGGAUUCACAUGUACUCCGUUUUUAAGCCUGCUUAACCUCUUCAAUAUUAUUAAUUGGUAUUGUUAAAUAUCUUUUUUUACAGUAGGCCUACUGUAUAUGAAAACUAAGUAUUUUUUUUUUUAAUAAAUGUUACUCUGCGUUCACACCAAAAGAUGCAAAAAGUUGACGCGCGGCACGAUCCCAUUCAAAGUGAAUGUAGAGACGCGUGGCUGCUUUGCUGCUUUGCUGCCGCAGCACUUGCUGCCGAGAAAACCGGCAGCAAAAUUUGAUUUGCGCCGCGGCAAAAUCUGAUUUGCAGCGCGGCAUGCCCGUGCCCGCUGCCGGGCACAGGCGGCGGGCGCGUUCACGUAUUUUGCGGCGCGUCAAAUGCUGCUCGAGUUGAAAUAUUUCAACUUUUGCUGCGCCGCAAAACUUGAUUUGCCGCGCCGCAAAACUUCUGCGUCAACGCGUUCGGGCAGCAAAUGCAUCUUUUGGUGUGAACGCACGGUUACAGCAACUGGUACAGCAGAGAAAAGUCAAAUGGCAUUCUAAUGUAUUUUUUCCAUCACCAUAAAAACAAAUAAUGUUGCAUUACAAAUAUAGUUGAUCGUAUGUGGCUUAGCUCAGGAGGUAGAGCACUUGUCUUGUAAGUGAAAGGUUGCUAGUUCGAUUCUCAGCUCCUCCUAGCUGAGUGUUGAUGUGUCCCUGAGCAAGACACUUAACCUUAACUGCUCCUGACGAGCUGGCUGUGGCCUUACAUGGUUGACUCUGCCGUCGGUGUGUCAAUGUGUGUAUUAACCAAUGUAAGUCGCUUUGGAUAAAAGCGUCUGCUAAAUGCCCUAAUUGUAAUUGUAAUCAGAUGCCCUACUAAGCGUAUCUCCAAGGACCAACCAACAACGAGGUGCUGACCAAGGCCAGGGCUCUGCUAAUGCUGAAAUGCCUACUCCUGGUCCCGAACUGGCUGCCCCUGACGCUGAACCGGCUGCCCCUGACGCUGAACCGGCUGCCCCUGACGCUGAAGAGGCUGCCCCUGAAGAUGAAGGGGCUGCCCCUGAGGAAAACGUCCAGUUCUUCAUAGAUUAGCAGUUCUGUCGUGUCACCUAGCAUUAACCUGCCUCCCUUAAUAACAGUAAAAUGAAGUUUUGAUCUGGAACGGUUAUUUCUUUAAUGUCUCCCAAAUAACAAUGCUGUCCCUCUCAUGCACAUGCAUUUCAUUGUGUGUUGUAUUUGUUUGUCAAUGCUUUUCCUGUACUAUUUCAUUCUGCAAAUAAAUCAACUCAACUAAACUAU